AUCUAGCUGACGAGUCCGAAAUGGGACGAAACGCGCAUCCUGGAU
rnacentral:hammerhead_ribozyme from 1 species